rnacentral:rRNA from 1 species
UACGAAGGGGGCUAGCGUUGCUCGGAAUGACUGGGCGUAAAGGGCGCGUAGGGCGCUUGCACAGUCAGGCGUGAAAUUCCUGGGCUCAACCUGGGGACUGCGCUUGAGACGUGUGGGCUUGAGUGGGGAAGAGGGUCGUGGAAUUCCCAGUGUAGAGGUGAAAUUCGUAGAUAUUGGGAAGAACACCGGUGGCGAAGGCGGCGACCUGGUCCUUGACUGACGCUGAGGCGCGAAAGCGUGGGGAGCAAACAGG